rnacentral:rRNA from 1 species
GACAGAGGGUGCAAACGUUGUUCGGAAUUACUGGGCGUAAAGCGCGUGUAGGCGGCUAAGUAAGUCGGGCGUGAAAUCCCACGGCUCAACCGUGGAAGUGCACUCGAAACUGCGUAGCUAGAGUCCUGGAGAGGAAGGUGGAAUGCUUGGUGUAGAGGUGAAAUUCGUAGAUAUCAAGCGGAACACCGGUGGCGAAGGCGGCCUUCUGGACAGUGACUGACGCUGAGGCGCGAAAGCGUGGGGAGCAAACAGGG